rnacentral:rRNA from 1 species
AAUAUUGGACAAUGGGCGAAAGCCUGAUCAAGCCAUGCAGCGUGUGUGAAGAAGGUCUUCGGUUUGUAAAGCAAGUGAAGUGGGGAGGAAGGGCAGUAAGUUAAUACCUUGCUGUUUUGACGGUACCGACAGAAAUAUCAACGGCUAACUUCGUGCCCGCCGCCGCGGCAAUAUGAAGGGUGCAAGCGUUAAUAGGAAUUACUGGGCGGAAAGCGCGCGUAGGUGGUUGGUUAAGUUAGAUGUGAAAGCCCCGGGCUCAACCUGGGAACUGCAUCCAAAACUGGCGAGCUAGAGUACGGUAGAGGGUGGUGGAAUUUCCUGUGUAGCGGUAAAAUGCGUAGAUAUAGGAAGGAACACCAGUGGCGAAGGCGACCACCUGGACCGAUACUGACACUGAGGUGCGAAAGCGUGGGGAGCAAACAGG